CCAGCGGCCCAUUCGACUUCUCAAUCCUCACUCUUCUCUUCUGAAAUGGGUAACCCACACCAGUUCAUCAUCUUUUUUCACCGAAUUUGUGUGGGGACGGGGAGCUAUUGAUUGAAGCGCCUCACACAAAUCAGACUAUGCUCUAUGAAGGCUUGAAAGAUUUGAGUAUGGGAAGCAAAUUACAAAUUACAAAAUCCAAAUUUUCAUAUUGAUAUUUCUAUUGAGGGAGUCAUGCUUAGAGGAGUGGCUGGUGGUACAAUGAAUGGUUGGAUGCAAUUAGUUGCGUAUGGAUGGCUGAAGAUGCACAAGGGAUGUUCGGUAGCAGUCCAGCUUCAGAUCCUACUUUUAUGGUUGUGGAAUUUGUUAGAGACCAUUUCAAAGAAGGAUUAAGAACACGCAUAAAGUUGCUAGCAUGUUAGUAGAGAAGAAGAAUUGCAUUGAUUUUUUUUUUUUUUCCUAUCAUAUCUAUUUUGUUCAACUGGUUGGGGUAUUUACAUGUAUCAAGUAAUAAUUUGGACGACAAUUUUAGUACUGUUUUCAUGUAAUAUAUAGAUAUACAUAUAAAGAUAAUGAAAAGGAGGUUUAAUGUU